ensembl:lncRNA
AUGACCCGACCAGUCCUCCUCUUCGGACUCUGGAUGCUGGCGAAGCAGUUUGAAUUUUAUGCUUGUGAAAGGGCUCUGUUGAUGAUUUUGAUGUCUGCAGCUUUCCAUCCGUAUGACCAGACACAUUCUCACCAGCUCCAUAUAUCAAGAUGAGGAGGGGAGACCUGGUAGCUUUUCCUUCUGUUAACUGCUGGCAUCAGUAGAGUGAUGCAGACAUUUCUCUAUUAAGAACGGAGCUGAGACUGAAGCUUCAUUUUGUAUGAGACUGUGCAGAGGUCAUCUGAAGUCUCUCCCAGGUGAGGUUAUUAUGAUCCUGGAUUUGAAACUGUGACCUACUGGUUUGCCAGAUGCCAAGAACAAAUGCUCUGAAAUUGAUUUUCCAUAAGACAUGAUGAGCUGCUCUAGCUUGCCUGGGAAGAGUGGAAUAUUUAACCUGUGGGUGAGACUCCUUCUUGCUACCUAUCAGCUUUGCCACUGCUCUGAUCGAGAAACGUCUCGGGAGCAGAGUUGGUAAGAGUGAAUCAGACUAUCUGCUAGCAUAGGACUCGUGGUACCUGCUUGUUCGAUCCCUCAUUUCCAUCCCCUCUAUCCUUUGCCUAUUGUCAGUCAUUGUGGUUGAUCCAUUCAGAAGAAUCGUGAAUAUUCAUAGCCAUCUUAAUUUACUAAUAUAUAUUCACUAAUGUCAGAGAUCUGUACAUGUGAUUCCUGAGCUUAUUACAGUAACAAGUUUCUCCAAUGCUACUGGGCAUAUUCUUCAUGUCUUUCUUUCCAGACUACUGACUCAAUUUAAGAUUACAUCCCUUGCUCCUUUGUGUGUAUUGCAUUUGCCCUGUAAAACUCAUUCCCUUCAUAUUGUAGGACAUCUAAAGACAUGGGGGGCAUUCCAAGAGUAGUCAUAAGAUGUGUCUGAUGCUGUUCUUUUAACGUGAUUCACUCUUCCUUUGAUCUGUGAAACUUCCUAGCAUUCUGUCAUGGCUAUUGGGGUCCUGGGAGAGAAAGUUGGAACCUGCUUAAGUAUUAAUUGGUGUAGGAUGAUUUUUCUCCGCAUCACACUCAGGCUGCUACCUCUGCAGUACAGUGUGCACCACUUCUUGCUGCAUCACUGAGGAAAGAAAUAGUAAAUUAAGUAGGUUUUUAAAUUGCCCAUUGAAUUCACAUCAUUAAAUAAUGCUAUAAGAAAUUCUUAAGCGGAGACAAGUAGGAGAAUUAAAAUGCUAUAAAUUAUGCCUGGGGUGUUAAACUCUUGUUUUGCCCUUUGUUCUGGCCACAAAGCACCCACAGCCAGGGAUGGUUCUGCCCACUGCUUAACAAUAAGUACCUGGGAGGAAGCGUGACCCCUGAGUGCCCCCAAAAGGGGGAUUAUUGUAACAGCAUUUAGCUCAUCUCCAGAAACUGGUGAAAAAUACCUCUGCAUCAUUCAGGUUACACUUGUCCCCAGGGAGCCAUUAAAGUUUCCUUCUUUCCCUCUUACUGCUGCCUGGCAUUUUCCAUUCCCCAGUUCCUUUCCUGUCCAGCAGCAAGGAAGUGGGAAAGGAACAGUGCUCAUCUGGCAUAUAAGGUAAUUCCCUGUAUCAUUCACCCUCAAAUGUCAGGAAAGUUGCAGCUACCCCUGGUCAUUGGUAUUUUUCUCUAUCGUUAUUCUUGAUCGUGCCAUCCUGUCUCUUUGGCUAAUGUUUGUCCAAAUAUUCUCAUUUUCCAACCCGUCUGUAAACGUUAUAAAAACAAGGACAGUUCUGUUUUCAAAGCACUGUACUUCAGUACCUAAAACAGUGCCUGGCCCAUAAAUAGUGCUCUGGUUACCCAAGGCUGUGUGACAAAUACCAUAAUGUAGUAGUUUUAACAACAGCAAUCGUCUUAUUGUCUUGAACAAUUCCUAUGGGUUAGGAACUAGAAAAGGCCUAAUUUUUGACCCAUAGUCUCAGUGGUUCUGCCUCAGGGUCUCUAAUGCAACUGCUAGAGAUAUAACAGGGAUUUUCUGAACAUCUUCUCUGUUGCAUAGUCUCCAGGUCUUUCAGUGUGGUCCCUCUUCAUGUGACUAGUUGAGCUUCCUUACAGCAUGGCCACCUGACAGCAGGAGGACUAUCUACAUGACUGCUGAAGGCUUUGAGACCAAGCAUUUUAGCAGCAAAGUAGAUGCUAUGAAGCCUUUAGUGACCUGGCCUUGGAAGUCACACACCAUAAUUUUCACUGCAAUCUCAAGUUACAAGUGAGUCACAAGCCUACCUAGAUUCAAAGACGGGGGAAUUCGACUUUAGUUCGUGAUGUUCGUGUGGCAGGAUUUUAGAAGCACAUGGGUUACUGGAGAUAUUGUUGUGACCAUCUUUGGAAAAUACAACAAGAGUGCCCAACCUUGUUUGUUUAAAAAGUAAAUAAAUGCCUUCUGAAUGAUUUCUCCAUCUCUCCUACUGCAGAUUUCCUCUGACCUCAGUUUUCAAAUAGCUGUAUUUUCAUUCCAUUACUGGAAACUGCAUUAUAUCCUUUUUUUGAAUGGCCCUUUGUAUUCUACCAAUUCAGCUCUUUUAUAGACUAUCUUCAUAAAAUAUCAGUUCUUGAAAUUUUCUUCAAGCCAUGUGCUUUCUCUCUCUGACUUACCUAUAUUCCUCUGUUGAGCUUAAAUUUCUGUACUUUGUCUUAAGGAUGAGUCUUGAAAAUUCAAU